GCUUACGGCCAUAUCACCCUGUCUGCGCCCGACCUCGUCUGAUCUCGGAGACUAAGAAGGGUCGGACCUGGUUAGUACUUGGAUGGGAGACCGCCUGGGAAUACCAGGUGCUGUAAGCU
ensembl:rRNA 5S_rRNA 5S ribosomal RNA